UCCCUCUCUCUCUCUCUCUCCCCUUUUCCCUCUCUCUUUCCCCUGGCUUCUGGCUGGUGGAAGUUUCCAUCCUAUUCUUUUUUCAGACAAGCCAUUGGAUUAUCAGCAUUUAUUGACAAGCAGAGAACGAAUGGUAAGAAUUAUUUACAUAACUCUUGAACUUGAAACAGAAGAUUUUUGACCUAAGCAUUAUAAUGACUCAUUGGAUUGAAACAAGAUAUAAAGGCAGAGAAGCAGCAUUUGAAUAACAGAAGGAUAACCUUUACACAGUGCACAAAAGCAUUAUGCUUACAGGGUCCAUUAACUGAACUUCAACUUACGAUGAGAUCAUAUGGCCAAGGAAGAACCGAGCACUAUUAUCCUGUUGAAUAAAUAUAGUAAUAAACUGCCCCCUAAAUUCUUAUAUUUAUACUCAUAAAAUAGAGCAUCUCUCAACCCUCUUUUGAGAAGAUUCACGUUUUGCACUAGAAGCAAUUUCACUGUACAGAGAAUAGGUGAUGUACAAUUCUCAGCUCUAAAUGGGCCAGCUCUUUCACUAAGGUUCGAGGCCCAUUAUGAAUAAAAAGACAUAAAGAUUGUAAGAUCCAGAAGUGAAUGUCCAUGGUAAAUAGUAUUUUCUAUACAUGACAACACAUGAACUCAUAGCACCUGUGAAAACAUGCAUAAGACCUGCACAAGAUCCAGCCAGUCAAAAUUUUAGCAUGGAUCAGGAAGUUGUUCAUGAAGCCCACCAUUAUUGAAAGAGUUAUUUGUAGUGGAUUGCUCUAGGAGAGGGAUAGCGAGGGAUUUGGGCUCUGAAAGGGUACUCAUACACCACUAGGUGGUCUCACAUCCAUGUAGCCCUAUAUAUCCUUAAGAUAUUCAAUUUUCAAAAACAACAGAGAACAUAAAGCCAGAAAGGAAAAGUUGAGGAAUAGAAGAGGCACAGUAAGGGAAGAUAUGGGUAUAGACUUGUACAAAAUAUAGCUAAUAUAGUCAAUUAGUCAAUAAGAGAUGUGAAUACUUGAACUUCAUAAUGCUGAUUGGUAGAGUAAUUGCAUGGUCAUAGCUGCAAUGGAAAAGGAGAAGAUAUGAUGUGAAGAGGUCCGUACAUACUUCACUUUAAAGAAAUUUGCUACAAUGGAGGAUAAAGAAGUGAGAACUAUAGGGAAGCAAGCAAAUUGGAAGGGCCUGAUAUGUAUGAAACUCUUUGAUUAUGUUUUAAUUUAGUUUCCUAAAGCAAUUUUCCCCAAGAGACAUCAUUAUAAGCUCUAUUCAUUAUUUCUACUAGGAAAAUAUGAAAAACUGUAACCUGAACUGAAAUCUUGGAAAUCUAUGCAGAAGGCACAGCUACCACCUCUCUGAGCUAGAACUAGUUUGUCAAGAGUUCACUGGGAUUUUCCUCUCAUGAUUGAAUAAUCAAUGUGAACUUCAUGCUCCAUGCCUUAUUUUUCACUCAAUUUAAUUGGAAUCCAAUUCAUUAAAAGAGGAAUAAAAAUUCUUAGUAAUACAAAGAUCCUGGGUAAAGCAGCUGAAUAUAAUACUACAGGAUGAGUAUUUGAACACAUUCAUGCAGUGUUCACAGAGGCCAGAAGACUGGUAUGUGGGCUCUGGGAAUCUAACUAAUAACCUCUGUAAGCAUAGCAAGUUCUCCCUCCUAAUCACUGAACUCCAUUCCAUAAAAUGUCUGUUUAUUUGUUACAGUAAUAUCUUUUCUCUAUGUGUCUUAUAAAGAAAUAAGUCUUAGAUAUAUGGCCCAUCCUACUGUAGUAUGUCUUCAUCUUUAGUAACCCCAAAGACCCCCUUAAAUGAAGUAGCAUUUUGAGGUUCCACAAAAACAUGAUUUUAGGGAGAUAUUGUUUAACCCACCUGUGUCAUCAACGAAUUCUCUCCACACAGGCAAUUCUAAUAUAUACUUGUUCCAGAAAUUAAUGGAUUACUGGAAUAACAGAAUGAAGAAAAGACUUAUGAGAUCAUGCUUGACAGUGACUUCAUUCUCGGUUCCUUCAUCAAAGGCUUUCAGAGGCAUGUAACUUUGAAACUAACAUCUUUAAGUCUAAAAUUUCAAAACAGUGAAGUGCAAGGGCUUGAAAACAAAAUAAUUAUUAUGAAUGUUAUUAGGCUUUUGAACAACAUGUACAAUGCCCCACUAUGAAGAAAAUAUAGUCAUCCAAUCAGCUAAAAAGAGGUUAAUGUGCUGAAAGCAUGGAUAACCGACUGGAAAUGAGAGGCCUCAGCCACUGAAGCAUGUACACUAUUCUAUCAGAAAUGACACUAACUCUGCUUGUGUUUCAGACAAUUCUAUGAACUUCUUUGUGGCCACAAGUGUUCAAGCUCUACAUUCCAAGGAUAGACUAGGCAGAAUUCACUGCUGACUCCUAACAAAUAUUUAGAAGAACUAAUAACUGUUUUCUCUCUCUCUCUCUCUCUCUCUCUCUCUCUCUCUCUCUCUCUCUCAACUAGAAGAAACUAGAAGAAACUAUAUUCAAUAAAAUUUUACAAGGCAACCAUUGCUCUUACACCAAAACCAGACAAAGGUGCAGCCAACAAAAAGCAGAAUAAAAAAGAGAAGAAAUGUGCAGGAUCAUAGGACAAUAUCCUUAAACAGGAAAUAAACAUGUUGUUUUGAAUAUGUUGUUCAAAAGCCUAAUAACAUUCAUAAUAAGUAUUUUGUUUUCAAGCCCCGGCACUUCACUGUUUUGAAAUUUUAGACUUAAACAUGUUAGUUUACUAGUCAGCUAAACCCAAAAUCAUCUGGGUUCAUCCUAAGUUUGCGAGGAUGAUCUAAUGUAUGAAAAUCAAUGAACAUGAUGAUAAUGAUGUCAAACAGCUGACAAUAUAUCCACCAGUGCAAAAUGCACAUUCCAUAAAAAUCAAUUUCUCCAAAAUAUAAACUGAACAAUAAGCUGGCCAUGGUGUUGCAUGCCUUUAAUCCCAGCACUUAGGAGACAGAGGAAGAUAAAUCUCUGUAAGUUCAAAGCCAGCCUAGUCUACAAAGGAAGUUCCAAGACAGUCAGAGCUGUUACAUGGAGAAAUCCUGUCUCAAUAAACCAACUAAUCUACCAGCCAACCAACCAACCAACCCAUCCAACUAACCAACCAACCCAACUAACCAACCCAACCAACAACCAACCCCCCCACCCACCAACCAACCAACCAACUUGAAGUGUCAAAGCACCCAGUGAACACAUCUCACCAUAAUUUAUUAUAAACUAUAAUUAUAAAUUAUAAUUAUAAAUUAUAAUUAUAAACUAAUAACUACAUAGUAUACAAUGAGGAGAACCUGAAAGCUCUAUUGAUAAGAAUCAAGAAUCGUGACAGGACAAAAGUGCUUAUUCCCACAUCUAUUCAGCAGAGUUCUGGGAGUUCUAUCCAGAUAAAUUAGGUAAGAGAAAUAAAUAAAUGCAUCCAAACAAAAAAUCAAGGUCAACCUGUCACUGUGUGAAAAAUGUAAUUUUGUGUGAGGAAACUCACAAAAGUGUACCAAGAAAAAAAUGUUAUAACUAACACAUUAUUUCACUAAAUAAAUAAAUUCAUCUGUUUUAAGAUGUAAAAUCAACACACAAUAUAAGGAAUAUUGCUUUAUACCAAUACAAUAAUCUAAAAACAUAGGAAACAGGAGAUGCAUUCCAUUUUUGUAGCUAUCAUUUUAGCUAUGCAUUUACAGCUUAAAAUGAUUUUAAGUUCCAAGGAUAAAGUGACUAAGAAGAUAAAAUAUCUCUACAAUAAAAUACUGAAAAGUGAACAACUAGGAAAAGACUUCUGAAGUACAUAUCAAAUGAGACCAAGAUGAAACUCUGAAUCAUCAAAACCAUCUUGAGUUAAAAAGAACAGUGCAGGACACAUUGCAAACUUCUCUUCAAAACAUAGUAUAAAUGUGUCAUUAAGCAGCAAGACAUUGGUAUAAAAGAAGAAAUCUACAUCAGAAUAUAUAUAGCCUAGAAUCCUGUAUAUAGUGAAUGAACACAUGUGUAGAUACCUGCCUUUUUUGUUUGGUUUUAUAGACAUGGCCCUGGCUGACCAGACUAGGCUGGUUUUAAACUCAGAGAUCUGCCUACUUCUGCCUAACCAGGCGGCUGAGCAUAAAGGCAUGUGUCACCACAGCCCAACUGACAACUGAUUUUUGACAACAAUGUCAAGAACAUGGGUUGGAUGAAAGAGAAUCAUUUCAUCAUUUCAGUUAAGGUUUCUGGGAAAAUUGUUCAUGCAUAUCCAAUGAAGGAAAGUAGACACCUAUUCUCAUCACACACAAAGCUCAAGUCUAAAUAGAUUAAUGAUUUAAAUUUUAGACUUAUACUAUGAAGUUAUAGAAGAAAAUACAGGAAAAAAUUUUUAGACAUUGGCAUGGACAAGAAUGUUCCUAUCAGGACUUGACAACUUGAGAAACCAAACCAAACAUAGACAGGUGGAAUCACAUUAAACUGAAAAUCUUUCAGGCAGCAAAGAACAGUCAGGGCAGAGUAUAAAACCAACAGGCAGAAUGAGAGAGAACAUUUUAAACGCAUUUAUCUGGCAGGACGUUGAUAUUUAGAACAUAUAAGGAAGCCAAGAACUGAUUAAUCAGAAAGCAAAUACCCCAACUAAACAAUGGGCAUCAGACUCAAACAAGCAUUUUCUAAAAGAAGAUAUAUUUAGGCAACAGUCGCCCCCAAAUGGCUGACAUUACUAACCACCAGAGAACUGUAAACCAAAACCACAAUGUUUAACCACAUCACUCCAUUCAUUAUCAUUGACUAAUACUAAAAUAUUAGUAGACUAAAGAUAGGACGUGCCGGUGAGAAUGUGGAGAUAGGGGACUGUUUGAACAUCCUGUUUAUAUUUCAUGGGAAUGUAUGUCACUAAAGCCAUUAUGGAAAGUAAUACUGAGUUCCAUAAAUGUUUAAACUAGUAUGACUCGUGUGCCUAAGCAAAUUCACUAGGGGGUUUAUUAUUCCCCCACUUCCAAAAUGAGCCAGUGCGUUAGAGACAUUUGCACUUCUAUCUUUCCUUCAGUAAAGAGCCAAGAAAAUAGAAACCACCCAAGUAUCUGUCAUGUAGGAACUGAGUGAUAUAGAAUGUCCUAGUUAACCACACCUCACUUCUAACACUGUGGAUGGACCAGGAAAUCAUUGUGCUAAGUUAAUAAAAGUCAAGUGGGAAAAAGCAGUUGUACAUGAUCUCAUUUGAGUGCAGAGUUUGAACGUGACAUGAUAGAAGCUGAUAAUAGGAUGGUUACUAGAAGCCAGAGACCAGUUAGUGCUGUGGCUCUAAUGUCAACAUUUUACUAUGAUCUCAUGCUUGAGCACUUUGCUCCUAAGUGAUAGUUGUUAUGGAAGGCUGUAGUAUCUUUAGGAGGUGGCACCCAGCUAGAGAAAGUAGGUCACUGGUAGGAGAGCCUUGAGAUUAUCAGCUCAGCCUCAAUACCUGCGUAUUUUCUGCUUAACCCUAUGACAUCUCUGCCAUUAUUGCAUCCAUCGGCAUAUCUUGAUAAUUUGAUUAUUAUCCCAGCUCAGAGGUUCACUGUGGGUAAUAUUACUGCUGACUCCUCCAUUCCCCGGCAAUCUGCAUGGAACCUUCCUGUAUUUUGAGAGCUAGCCAAAAUGGAGAAAGCUGUUGGAUUAGUACAGACUUUUUAAUCUCUGUGUCCUGUGACCAGGUGUGUGGUCUUCAGUCACUGGGUCUAACUACCAAGUUCUCAAAAGGAAAGCAAUGGCUAAAACCUGUAUUGUUAGGGGGAAACAAUCAAGUUUAUCUCAGCUGUGAACAAAGAUCAAAGAUAAAACAUACACAAUGAAAGAUAUUAUGUCUCCUUUCCUCAGUGCUUAAGGACAGCUGAUUUUACUCAGCUCUCUAUUAAUUUGACACAAACUAUCCAUAAAAAUAAACAUUGUCUUUAAAAUUGUUUUAAUAACAGAGCAGAGCAUGUAUAAUGCUUUAAAACAUUGGCCCAUGGGUUUAGCAGGGUUAUUUUAAUGCUUGUUUGUUUGUGCUGUAAACGUGGUUACAUCAUUUCUACAUCACUUCUAUUUGGCUGUUGAGUUUAGAAUUUUGGGGGCUGAGAAAGCUAGAAAUGUAAAUAUUUCAUUUCUAGGUAAAAAGUUCUUAAUAUUGAAUUAAUUUAUUUUAAGUUAUUCACUGUAAUUGAUAUCUAAAAAUCUAUUACAAUUAUAUAAUAAUGUGUUGUUUAAAUAAGGUAGUAUAAUGAAUGGCCAUCUUGAAGUAUAAUUUAAAAUCUGUUUCUUUGCUGUCCUACUAAAUAAGUGUUUUCAUUAAUUCCUUUCAAAUUGCACAAACCUUUCACAGCUGUCUGAGCUGGCAACUGUCAUUUCUGCCUUUAGCAUAUUCAGUUGGAAAUAACUUCUUGUAUAAGAUUGGCUUCAAACCUUGGCUUAAAGUGAUCUUUCAGAAUUGCUUAGGGUUUCUGGCCAUUUUCCUUUGUAGGAAAGUGGUGUUGUUAAUAAGUAACCGCCAUCUCAGACCACUGCCCAGGACAUCAAACAAGUUAAAAAUCAGCUCCGGUAGCACAUAGCACAUGUAAUGUAGUCUUUGUGUUACCCUUUCAGGCCUGUUCCUUUUGGCACUUCAUGUGACAAGCUUUAUGGCUACCUGACUUGGUAUUCUUUCCAAUUAUUAAUUCUCUCUGUUAAACUCCACUAGGUGGUGAAUGUAAAACGAGUGUUGAUUCUCUCCAGUCUUUUCAUUUUCUCAACAAUAAAAUAUUAGUUUUCAUUAAGAUUGUAUCACAUAUUCCAUGCUUCAGUAUGUGAAGCCCACAUUUCCUACUUCCGUCCUCACAGGACGUGUGAUCCCCUCCAGCAGGUUUGCUUCCUUAUGUUCACAGGUGCUUCCUCCUCCUUGCCUUGCAGUGCGUGAGUGAAGGUUGAUGGUGUCCCCUGGCUGGGGGCGUUGUUCUGGAAGUCUGGUUGUGCAGAUUCCUCAGGCCACUCUCUUCUCAACCGGAAGACUUUUUAUAUUAUGGCAAAUAGUCUAAGUAGGAAAAAAAACAUUCUUAGCUACAUUUUAUGGAGUUGAUUUUCUUAGUUUAUUUCUAUUCUCUCUUGUUUUUGUAUUGCUGGGGUGUCUUUUUCCUCCAGGUGAAAUAUGGAAACGUGUCUUCUGGUUACAGGCUUCAGUGGUGGAAUGUAAAUCAUAAAGGGACUUGCUAGUCCUCAGUCUGUAUCUUACUGGCUGUUGUGUAGUUAGCUUUGGACACCACAAUAUCCUGGGAUGCCAGCAUUCUACUUUUCACUUGGGUUUCACCCAUUAUUUUUGGUUCACACCUCCACUACUGAGGGAGCACAGGAUGGGACUGGAGAGAUGGCUCAGUGGGUGAAAUGUUUGCCUGGAUGAGGACGUGAGUUCCAACCAUGUUGGAACCCACAGAAGGCUGACCACAGUAGUGCAUGUAUGUAUUUCAGUGCUCCUAAGGGAACGUGGGAGGCAAAACAAGAAAAUUCCCUGAAACACAUGAGCCAGCUUGCAUAGCUUAUGGAAGCCAAUAGCAAAAGAGAAAGAGAGAAAGCAAGAGAGAGAGAGAGAGAGAGAGAGAGAGAGAGAGAGAGAGAGAGAGAGAGAGAUCCUUUCUACACUAUGAGGACCAACAUCUGAGACUCUCCUGUGGCAUGAAAUGUUCACUGUGACAUUUGUGUGCCCCACAUAUGUACAUAUACAUGUAGUAGUAAAUAUUAAAGAAGAAAUCUAUCAUCCCAUGCUAUUGCCAGCUCUGGCAGGCCACAUGGCAUCUGUGGGGUAUUUUCAUUUAAUUCAGCAAAGCAUUCAACUACUAAGCUCCCAAUCUCCAUCCCAUGCUGCCAUAUCUGAGCCCGGCAGCCGCCAUAUCUAGCCCCACAUUGCUGCUGGCUACUCUCUGGCCCCAGCAGCAGCGACCUGCUUGUGACUCUCUGCUGUGAAUUCUGCUCACAUGCCCAGCAUCUGCCCCCUGUGGUUAUAGUCACAACUCCCAGUAACCUAUUAAAAUCAAAACUCAAUAAGCUUGUAAUUUACCAAUCAGACUUAUAUCUUAAAUUCUCAUUCCACAAAACAUCCACACAAUAAACUCACAACCAAUUGAUAAUGUUAUAAACUGCCACCUAGAUAAGACAAAUUGUCCUAUAAAAAUCCACGUCUUAUGAAAUAUUCAUAACUACUCAUGGCCCUUUAAGGCCACACAGAAUUACGUCAUCCUUCUCCUCCUCCGUCUUGGUUCUUCUUCUCCCUUCUCAUCUCUCCCUCCUCUCUCCAAAACUCUGUGCCUGCCUUACUUUUUCACUGUCCAGUCACAGGCCUCGUCUUAUCUCACCUGCAUAUAGACAUCAACUGCAUAUACACAUCACAUACAAACACAUAUAUACAUAAUUUAAAAAAGGAUCAUGUCAAAGGUAAACUUCAUUAAAACCUGCCAAAUUCUUGUCAGAUUUGACAAACUAACACAAGAAACCAUUGUCCAUUGUGUGAAGGAUUUAUCUUGGCUCUCCACCAACUCUCCGUGUAUAGGUGUUUUUGUGCUAGAGUGGCUCUGUUGAAUACAUAUUACUGAGAUUGCAGAGAAGGCAAAGCCUGAAGUAUUUAUUACCUAGAACUUAAAAAGAGGUGGUUGAUCCCUAAUCUGUAUAAUAUGUUUGAAGAUUGUCUUUAUCUUAGGUGCCCAGUGAUACAGCGAUCCUGAUACUGUACUGCAGUGCUCUCCUACAAAUAAAUGCCACUGGAAAGUUGAAGCUUGAGGGUGUAGUGUUAAUGAAAGACUUAGUGGUAUAACCAAGUCACUCAAUCCUUCAAUCAUUUCACAUACUAUUCCACUCACGAGUAAUCAGUAAACAUAACUUUUCUCCAAAAAAAAGCUUCGUGUUAAAAUACAUAUGUAUCUGGGCUGGGAUAUCUAAGUAAAAUGCUUGCUAAGCAAAGAUGAAGUCCUGAGCUUGGAUGCCAAUCAAGGAAAUUAGUUGGAGGAAGAGGAAGAGGAGGAGAAGGAAGAAGAAGAGGAGAAGGCAGAGGAGAAGAAGAAGGGGAAGGAGGAAGAGGAGGAAGAGAAGGCAGAGGAGAAGGGGAAGGAGGAAGAGGAGGAGGAAAAGGGGAAGGAGGAAGAGGAGGAGGAGAGGAAGAGAAAGAGGAGGAAGAAGAAACAGAAGAAGAAGAACAAAUGAAGUCUAUAUCUGUUGCCCAUUACCUCAGAAGCACAUUUAUUCUAAUGUCUACGAUUUAUUGGCCAGUGAGCCUAGUUGGAUUAGAGAACCUCUCUUUCAAUGAGAUACUCUAUAUCAAAAAAUAAGGUGGAGGAGGAUCCAAGAGAGCAUUGCAAUAUUGAUCUCUGGCCUUUACACAUAUACGCACACACAUACACAAACACGUACAAAAAUACAUAACAUACACACACAUAAUUCCUGUUGAUAAGUAUUUAAGAUGUUAGAGGUAAAUGUUUCAGUGUUUGAAACUAAGCAAAAUUAAGGUUCAUUUUAGAUAUGUUCAUUGCCUGAUGUUUAACCAGUCUUCAUAUAUCCACUCAUUUUCUACCUUUCUGGUGAUGUUCUAGUAAAAUCUUACUGUUUUUAUUUUCCUAUCUCCACAUAAUCCUUUGUUACUUUAAAACAUUUCAAUUUCCUGUUGCCUUUAUUGUAUUUGUUUUCAGGUCAGGAUUUCUUGUCUGCAUGGGGAAAAGAAAAAUCUCCAUCUAACAAGGCUAUAGCACUUGCCCCUGGAAUUCUAAUUUCUUCCCUAACCUUGUUAUUGUUUUCAUCUCAAAGCAAAGCAGAUAAACAAUAAGUAAAUAAAUAAGUUGUCACCCCACCCACCCACCCCCAAUUUAAGUUUCAUUGUUUCCAGUUUCGAAAAUAAAGGAGCUUGAGAGAUCCUGACAUCGAGGUUUGUUCCCUAAGUGAAACCAGGAUUUGCUGCAUUUGCAUUCAUCUUGCAAAACAGACUGCUGUGUUGCACUUGGGUAAGCUAUUUAAACGCCCGGAUCCAACCAAGUGUAUCUAUUGUUCUAGUUGAUUAAUACAAUCUUAACGAAAUCAGGGACUUUUGAGCAAGUCCCUAAAUAUAAAACCUAUUAUUUAGAAAAGAAUGACCUAUUUGCUUUUUGUUUUCUCGUAGCAUAAAGACUAAAAAGCCAGAACAGGGUGAAUGCCCUUAUCCCACACGUUAUAUGAAGGCUGCAGUCACGUUCCAGCAGAACCUGUACCUCAGGGGAUGCACCUCAGCCAUUUCUAAUCUUUUCUGAUGAAUGCUGCUACAGUUCAAGUUUCAGAAUCAAUUGGGGAAAAAUUUGAAGUGGGGCUUCUCGUGAAGAAGUGGCAGGUCUGUUCUAGACAGGCAGGCAGUAAAUCAGAGUUUUCACAUUUCAUUGCCUGGAACUGACUCAAACUGUCAGAAUGUGGCCAGGCUUAAAUCAUGCAGUUAAGGAGGAGGGUGGGCAGCCUGAGUUUCGAUGUCUGAUACUGGUAAGUUAUGCAAAGAUCAGGCUCCUUGGAAAAUAACCAGCCUAGAAAAGUCGGUAUUAGGAAGCAUGGGAUGGCAAGUACACAGGUUAUGGUAUUAAAAUAGAGUCAAAUAGCUGUUAACUUGUAUAAAUAAUAAUAAUAGAUUGAGUUUCAUUUAAUCUAUAAUUUGGUUUAAAAAGAUGCUUGCUGUAUAGUUGCCAAGGAUUAAAUUUAUAUCAAGCAAUAGUAAUUAGACUCUGUAAAUACAAAUCAUUUGAAUGCCCGUUGUUCCUAAUGGACAUUUUCUCUUUCUCUUCUUCUCUUCUGAUGAAGACCAUGUGAGUUGAAGAGUGAAAGACCUGGAAAGCUGGUGAUUCCACUGAGAAGUGUCUCCAUGCUCCUGCCACAUCCCGUCUUUAGAAAGAGCAGUAAAUGAAACACAAAGGACUUCUAGAUGUUUAAAGGGUCAGAUAUUUGAAGGACUCUUUUUCUUUCUGACCUGAAAAAGAAGGAAGUUGCUCUUAACCCUUUAGCCACAUUGGUGGUAGCGCUGGGUGUGGGGUCAUGUAAACACUCACCGAGCCUCUCAGGUCUCCUGCAGGACUUGAAGGAACUAGACAAUGAGUGCAGAAUUCCAAUGCACUUGAGAAAAGGUUGAGGGCUAGAAAGGGGGCUGUGCAUGUCAGUAAAAUAAAAGGAACCAGGGAUGAAGAAUCAGACAUAACAGCUACCUACCUAUGUGAAGUUCUAAGUCAGACAGGUUGUAUAGGAGAUCUCCAGAAACAUAACAGUUAUCCUGACAUUAAAAGUAAUUAAAACUCUAUUGUAGAGUCCAGCGACUUCUAUUUGAGAAGUCCAGUGGUGACAGAAAUAGUGGUGACAGAAUGUUCAUUGUCAUUACAGAGGGGCAUCUCUUAUUCAUUCUCGCAUAUUUCAGAUUACCAGUAAAUCAUGUGGUUGGUUUGCAAUAUAUAGAACAAAUUUAAAUUGU